GAUGAACGCUGGCGGCGUGCCUAAUACAUGCAAGUCGAGCGAACAGACGAGGAGCUUGCUCCUCUGACGUUAGCGGCGGACGGGUGAGUAACACGUGGAUAACCUACCUAUAAGACUGGGAUAACUUCGGGAAACCGGAGCUAAUACCGGAUAAUAUAUUGAACCGCAUGGUUCAAUAGUGAAAGACGGUUUUGCUGUCACUUAUAGAUGGAUCCGCGCCGCAUUAGCUAGUUGUUAAGGUAACGGCUUACCAAGGCAACGAUGCGUAGCCGACCUGAGAGGGUGAUCGGCCACACUGGAACUGAGACCCGGUCCAGACUCCUUCGGGAGGCAGCAGUAGGGAAUCUUCCGCAAGGGGCGAAAGCCUGACGGAGAAACGCCGCGUGAGGGAGGAAGGACUUCGGGUCGUAAAACUCUGUUAUUAGGGAAGAACAAAUGUGUAAGUAACUAGGCACGUCUUGACGGUACCUAAUCAGAAAGCCACGGCUAACUACGUGC
rnacentral:rRNA from 1 species